rnacentral:sRNA from 18 species
CCUCGGGUUGAAACCCGAGGCUGACAAAUUUCACCGCUCCGCGGUU